rnacentral:rRNA from 1 species
GAAUAUUGGACAAUGGGCGCAAGCCUGAUCCAGCCAUGCCGCGUGAGUGAUGAAGGCCUUAGGGUUGUAAAGCUCUUUUACCAGGGAUGAUAAUGACAGUACCUGGAGAAUAAGCUCCGGCUACCUCCGUGCCAGCAGCCGCGGUAAUACGGAGGGAGCUAGCGUUGUUCGGAAUUACUGGGCGUAAAGCGCGCGUAGGCGGUUACUCAAGUCAGAGGUGAAAGCCCGGAGCUCAACUCCGGAACUGCCUUUGAAACUAGGUGACUAGAAUCUUGGAGAGGCGAGUGGAAUUCCGAGUGUAGAGGUGAAAUUCGUAGAUAUUCGGAAGAACACCAGUGGCGAAGGCGACUCGCUGGACAAGUAUUGACGCUGAGGUGCGAAAGCGUGGGGAGCAAACAGG